rnacentral:rRNA from 1 species
UCGGAAUUACUGGGCGUAAAGCGCGCGUAGGUGGUUUGUCAGUCAGAUGUGAAAGCCCAGGGCUCAACCCUGGAACUGCACCUGAUACUGCAAGACUAGAGUACAAUAGAGGGGAGUGGAAUUCCGGUGUAGCGGUGAAAUGCGUAGAUACUCGGAGGAACACCAGUGGCGAAGGCGGCUCACUGGCUCGAUACUGACGCUGAGGUACGAAAGUGUGGGGAGCAAACAGGAUUAGAUACCCUGGUAGUCCACACCGUAAACGAUGAAUGCCAGUCGUCGGGUAGCAUGCUAUUCGGUGACACACCUAACGGAUUAAGCAUUCCGCCUGGGGAGUACGGUCGCAAGAUUGAAACUCAAAGGAAUUGACGGGGGCCCGCACAAGCGGUGGAGCAUGUGGUUUAAUUCGAUGAUACGCGAGGAACCUUACCAGGGCUUAAAUGUAAGAUGCAUUAGUUAGAGAUAGCUAUUUCUUCGGACUUCUUACAAGGUGCUGCAUGGUU